UACGGAGGAUGCGAGCGUUAUCCGGAUUUAUUGGGUUUAAAGGGUGCGUAGGCGGCUUUUUAAGUCAGCGGUGAAAUUUUGCAGCUUAACUGUAACAGUGCCGUUGAUACUGGGGAGCUAGGAUUUGGUUGCUGUGGGUGGAAUGUGUGGUGUAGCGGUGAAAUGCUUAGAGAUCACACAGAAUAUCGAUUGCGAAGGCAGCUCACAAAGCCACGAUUGACGCUGAGGCACGAAAGUGUGGGGAGCAAACAGGAUUA
rnacentral:rRNA from 1 species